rnacentral:rRNA from 1 species
UUUAGAGUCCUGGCGUCAGGAUGAACGCUAGCGAUAGGCUUAACACAUGCAAGUCGAGGGGCAGCAAUUCGUAGCAAUACGAAGUUGGCGACCGGCGCACGGGUGAGUAACGCGUAUGCAACUACCCGCAACAGAAGGAUAAUCCGGCGAAAGUCGGUCUAAUACUUCAUAAUACAGGGACACCGCAUGGUGAUAUUUGUUAAAGAUUAAUUGGUUGCGGAUGGGCAUGCGUGCCAUUAGGUAGUUGGUGAGGUAACGGCCCACCAAGCCGACGAUGGUUAGGGGUUCUGAGAGGAAAAUCCCCCACACUGGUACUGAGACACGGACCAGACUCCUACGGGAGGCAGCAGUGAGGAAUAUUGGUCAAUGGGCGAGAGCCUGAACCAGCCAAGUCGCGUGAAGGAAGACGGCCCUAUGAGUUGUAAACUUCUUUUGCAGGGGAAUAAAGAUAUCCACAUGUGGGUAGUUGUAUGUACCCUGCGAAUAAGCAUCGGCUAACUCCGUG